rnacentral:rRNA from 1 species
GCGGCCUAUCAGCUUGUUGGUGAGGUAAUGGCUUACCAAGGCAACGACGGGUAGCCGGCCUGAGAGGGCGACCGGACACACUGGGACUGAGACACGGCCCAGACUCCUACGGGAGGCAGCAGUGGGGAAUAUUGGGCAAUGGACGCAAGUCUGACCCAGCGACACCGCGUGAGGGAUGAAGGCCUUCGGGUUGUAAACCUCUUUCAGUAGGGAAGAAGCGAAAGUGACGGUACCUACAAAAGAAGCACCGGCUAACUAUGUGCCAGCAGCCGCGGUAAUACAUAGGGUGCAAGCGUUGUCCGGAUUUAUUGGGCGUAAAGAACUCGUAGGUGGUUUGUUACGUCGGAUGUGAAACUCUGGGGCUCAACCCCAGACCUGCAUCCGAUACGGGCAGACUAGAGUGUGGUAGGGGAGACUGGAAUUCCU